rnacentral:lncRNA from 1 species
GGAGGACUAAGAGCUGGCAUCUUGACAGCUUGCUGUAUUUUGCUGUCUGGAAGUUCGGUUUGCAUUCCAUUCAGGCACUUGGGGGACAGGGAGAUUCAAUUCAUAUCCCCUCUUGUCUCACCCAGGGGCUCAGAAACACUCCCUUCUAGGACCAAAUUGAGUACCCCGCCCCAUCCCCCACAGGGGCCUCCGAGAAGGGACAGUGUCUCCAGAUUGGAGACCACAGUUUCCAGGAUCUCCCUGAGGACCUCAGGGCCGGCUGCCAAUCAGACCUGGGAUCAGCCACAGUCCAUUAGUGAAUGCCCCGGGUGCAAGGCGCCAACACAGCCCCCCAGGCAUUGGCGCCAGAGGCUGCCCAGGGAACCCAAAGCCACCUUCAAUCACUAUCUUGGCUUUUGCCAUCAGACAAACUGGACCAUGGACUGUAGGCUGUUUCCUAGGUAAAACCCCACCUAAAUGAAGACUGGGCUUUGUUCUCCAGCCCCACCUCUGCUUGCAAGCUUAUCCUCCCUGGCGGGUCUACCAACAGUGACGGGAGAAGGAAUGACUAGACAAGCUAGCUCCGGUCAAAGACAAGAUAUCCUAGCCAACAUCAGGGCCACUGGACCAGUGAUUUAUGGCCCUGAGACAAAGGCUCCUAAGGAAAAGACCCAGCACAAGUCAGAUGUGUUGCUGCAACUAUUAUAACCCAUCCAUCUAUCUGAAUCAUCCUAGCAUCUGGAAAGUGGACCAGGCUGGCAUGGGCUGAAUAUGCCUUCACAUACAUCUUCAUUCAUGGCAAAUGGGCACAUGGUAAAUGGGCUGGGAAUAGAAGCCCCAUUUUUUCAGAAGAGGGCAAUGAAGGUGCUGAAAAGAAGACUCCAAGGUCAACAGCCGAGAGUGCCAACCUCAGCUCUGUUUGAGUCCCAGGUUGCA